rnacentral:rRNA from 1 species
AUUGAACGCUGGCGGCAGGCUUAACACAUGCAAGUCGAACGAGUGGCGGACGGGUGAGUAAUGCCUGGGAAUCUAGCUUAUGGAGGGGGAUAACUACGGGAAACUGUAGCUAAUACCGCGUACCAUAGGAUGAGCCCAAGUGGGAUUAGGUAGUUGGUGGGGUAAAGGCUCACCAAGCCGACGAUCCCUAGCUGGUCUGAGAGGAUGACCAGCCAAACUGGGAAUGGGACACGGGCCAGAAUCCCGCGGGAGGCAGCAAUGGGGAAUAUUGCGCAAUGGGGGGAAACUGACGCAGCCAUGCCGGGGGAAGGGUGACGGCCUUCGGGUGGGAAAGCUCUGUUAAUCGGGAGACGGUACCGGAAUAGGAAGCCACGGCUAACUACGUGCCAGCAGCCGCGGUAAUUC